GACGAACGCUGGCGGCGGUGCUUAACACAUGCAAGUCGAACGGGGUGACGAUGAAGGCUUGCUUUCGAUAAUAGCCUAGUGGCGAACGGGUGAGUAACACGUAACUAACCUGCCCUUCAGUGGGGAAUAACCCGGAGAAAUCCGGACUAAUACCGCAUACACUUAGUUAUCCGCAUGGAUGAUUAAGGAAAGAUUUAUUGCUAAGAGAUAGGCAUGCGUUCCAUUAGUUAGUUGGUGAGGUAACGGCUCACCAAGGCAUCGAUGGAUAGGGGAGCUGAGAGGCUUAUCCCCCACAUUGGGACUGAGACACGGCCCAA
rnacentral:rRNA from 1 species